UGAUUGUCUCAUCUCAGAAAAGGGUUGUAUUUGUCUGGCUUCAGCUCUUUCUUCAAACCCCUCCCACCUAAAAGAGCUGGAUCUGAGCUACAAUUAUCCCGGAAAAUCAGGACUGAAGCUGUUAUCUGUUAGACUGGAGGAUCCUGUCUGUAAACUGGAGAAGCUUAAAACUGACCAUGCUUCAGUAAGCAGAGCUCGACCACGUUUGCUGAGAUAUGCCUGUGAGCUCACACUGGACCCAAACACAGCAUUCAGACGUCUCUCUCUCUCUGAGGGGAACAGAAAGGUGACAAGUGUGGAUAAGGAGCAGCCGUAUCCUGACCACCCAGAGAGAUUUGACUGCUGGUGGCAGGUGUUGUGUAGAGAGGGUCAGUCUGGACGCUGCUACUGGGAGGCUGAGUGGAGUGGGGGUGAGGCUCAUAUAGGAGUGGCAUAUAAAAGCAUCCAGAGGAA